ACGGGCCGGUUCCUGGGCGGCAUUCAGCGAUGACAGUUUGAUCUCUCACGAAUACCGUUUCGCACCCUCGUACACAGCGGAGCUUUACGCACAGCAUGCUUCGAUUGGACCACACGGCACCGUGGCGCACUGAAACAGGACUUGGAAAGUUACUUAAACCGAACGAGGCUUAUUCUGCGUCUGGGCGGACUCAGUGAACGGGAGGUUCUGCACUGCAAAAGACUCGUCUUGGGCAUAACAAAUAGCAACGCGCCAGGAACAGAACUAACUUUUGGUUAACUAGAAUGAGAAUAGCACAGCGUCAUUGAUUAUGAGCGAAUUAUCACCCCUCUAAUCAUAUCCUGGGGACCGUUAUCAACAGUUCGUGAACCAGAGGCGUUUGCGCUCUGGAUUCGGGAAUAUACUUAUUGAUCAAACAUUUAUUAAGUGAAUGCAUGAGUGUAGAGACAGUGGAUGAAAGGACACAAGUCUGUUUUCAGUCUGCCGGGCUUUGAAAACUGAAGUUUUAACAUACUGUUCGCAAACUCAAACCUACAAAUGAGUUUAACAGUAUUGAAGUUUAAGAUAUAAAUGUGAAGGAUUGGUCUCUUGAUUCGCACAAGACCUCGCACAAGACGCGCCAGAGACACUACAGAACAUUACGCGCACAACUGUGACUGGACUGUGGAGGAGCAACAUGUACCCGGCGUGCCGGACAAACGCGUUCAGUAUCUCUCCAUCUGCCUCUCUGGCAAUGUUUGGGAAUUCGGGGAAAGCCAAAAAGAGACCCUGUUGGAUUGUAAUAUUGCUGUCGGUGCUCCUACAUCUGGCGUCAGCACAAGCUGUAGUUUCAGCUGAGGUGCAGAAAACACUGCAGGAAAGAUGAGAUAACUAUUAUUGAUUCCUGCCAAAGUAUGAAAAGUUAAAUAUUUCAGAUAAUUAACACUGGUCAUGUGACAUUUUUACAGCUUUUCACAAAUUUGCAUACAGUAUAUGAAGGUAAAACAAAAAAAAUAAAACAAUAUUAUCUACGGAAGAGGAUUAGGGCCAAGCAAUAAUAAAAAAAUAAAACCAUCUCGAGAUUAAAGUCAUUAUAUUGCGAGAUUAAACUCGUUAAAUUUCGAGAAAAAAAGUCAAAAUACAAUCUUGAGAAUAAACUCAUUAAAUUUCGAGAAUAAAGUCGUUGUGUUUCGAGAAAAAAACUUCUUAAAUUUCGAGAAAAAAAGUCGAAAUACAAUCUUGAGAAUAAACUCAUUAAAUUUCGAGAAUAAAGUCGUUGUGUUUCGAGAAAAAAAACUCGUUAAAUUUCGAGAAAAAUAGUCAAAAUAAUCGUGAGAAUAAGCUCAUUUAAUUUCGAGAAUACAGUCGUUGUGUUUCGAGAAAAAA
rnacentral:lncRNA from 12 species